AUUGAACGCUGGCGGCAUGCUUUACACAUGCAAGUCGAACGGUAACAGGCCUUCGGGUGCUGACGAGUGGCGAACGGGUGAGUAAUACAUCGGAACGUACCCCGCGGUGGGGGAUAACGCAGCGAAAGCUGUGCUAAUACCGCAUGUGAUCUGAGGAUGACAGCGGGGGACCGGGCAGCAAUGUUUGGCCUCGCGCCUUUGGAGCGGCCGAUGUCGGAUUAGCUAGUUGGUGGGGUAAAGGCCUACCAAGGCGACGAUCCGUAGCUGGUCUGAGAGGACGACCAGCCACACUGGGACUGAGACACGGCCCAGACUCCUACGGGAGGCAGCAGUGGGGAAUUUUGGACAAUGGGCGCAAACCUGAUCCAGCAAUGCCGCGGGCGGGAAGAAGGCCUUCGGGGUGUAAACCGCGUUUGGCAGGAACGAAACGGUGUCCGCUAAUACCGGGCGCUAAUGACGGUACCUGCAGAAUAAGCACCGGCUAACUACGUG
rnacentral:rRNA from 1 species